rnacentral:rRNA from 1 species
UACGUAGGUGGCAAGCGUUAUCCGGAUUUAUUGGGCGUAAAGGGAACGCAGGCGGUCUUUUAAGUCUGAUGUGAAAGCCUUCGGCUUAACCGGAGUAGUGCAUUGGAAACUGGGAGACUUGAGUGCAGAAGAGGAGAGUGGAACUCCAUGUGUAGCGGUGAAAUGCGUAGAUAUAUGGAAGAACACCAGUGGCGAAGGCGGCUUGCUGGACUGUAACUGACGUUGAGGCUCGAAAGCGUGGGGAGCAAACAGG